CAGUCGCCACGGUAAUACAGAGGGUGCAAGCGUUAAUCGGAAUUACUGGGCGUAAAGCGCGCGUAGGUGGUUUGUUAAGUUGGAUGUGAAAGCCCCGGGCUCAACCUGGGAACUGCAUCCAAAACUGGCAAGCUAGAGUACGGUAGAGGGUGGUGGAAUUUCCUGUGUAGCGGUGAAAUGCGUAGAUAUAGGAAGGAACACCAGUGGCGAAGGCGACCACCUGGACUGAUACUGACACUGAGGUGCGAAAGCGUGGGGAGCAAACAGGAUUAGAUACCCCUGUAGUCCCUGUCUCUUAUAC
rnacentral:rRNA from 1 species